CCUACGGGUGGCAGCAGUGGGGAACAUUGGACAAUGGGGGGAACCCUGAUCCAGCCAUGCCGCGUGUGUGAAGAAGGCCCUCGGGUUGUAAAGCACUUUCAGUGAGGAAGAACGCCUGGUGGUUAAUACCCAUCAGGAAAGACAUCACUCACAGAAGAAGCACCGGCUAACUCCGUGCCAGCAGCCGCGGUAAUACGGAGGGUGCGAGCGUUAAUCGGAAUUACUGGGCGUAAAGCGCGCGUAGGUGGCUUGAUAAGCCGGUUGUGAAAGCCCCGGGCUCAACCUGGGAACGGCAUCCGGAACUGUCAAGCUAGAGUGCAGGAGAGGAAGGUAGAAUUCCCGGUGUAGCGGUGAAAUGCGUAGAGAUCGGGAGGAAUACCAGUGGCGAAGGCGGCCUUCUGGACUGACACUGACACUGAGGUGCGAAAGCGUGGGUAGCAAACAGGAUUAGAUACCCCUGUAGUC
rnacentral:rRNA from 1 species